rnacentral:rRNA from 1 species
UAAGUUAGAGGUGAAAGCCAGCAGCUUAACUGCUGGUCUGCCUUUAAUACUGCAGUUCUUGAGUGCGAAAGAGGGAAGCGGAAUUCUUGGUGUAGCGGUGAAAUGCGUAGAUAUCAAGAAGAACACCGGUAGCGUAGGCGGCUUCCUGGUUCGUAACUGACACUGAGGCGCGAAAGUGUGGGGAGCAAACAGGAUUAGAUACCCUGGUAGUCCACACCGUAAACGAUGGAUACUAGGUGUUGGGUUUCACGACUCAGUGCCGAAGUUAACGCAUUAAGUAUCCCGCCUGGGGAGUACGAUCGCAAGGUUGAAACUCAAAGGAAUUGACGGGGGCCCGCACAAGCGGUGGAGCAUGUGGUUUAAUUCGAUGCAACGCGAAGAACCUUACCGGGGUUUGAAAUGCAGUUGCUCUCCGUUGAAAGACGGAUUUCCUUCGGGACAACUGUACAGGUGCUGCAUGGCUGUCGUCAGCUCGUGCCGUGAGGUGUUGGGUUAAGUCCCGCAACGAGCGCAACCCUUGUCCUUAGUUGCUAUCAGGUCAAGCUGAGAACUCUAAGGAGACUGCCUCGGAUAACGAGGAGGAAGGUGGGGAUGACGUCAAGUCCUCAUGGCCCUUACAUCCCGGGCUACACACGUGCUACAAUGGCCAGUACAACGGGAAGCGAUACCGUGAGGUGGAGCAAAUCCCUUAAAACUGGUCUCAGUUCGGAUUGUAGUCUGCAACUCGACUACAUGAAGU